rnacentral:rRNA from 1 species
AGUGAACGCUGGCGGUAGGCCUAACACAUGCAAGUCGAACGGCAGCACAGUAAGAGCUUGCUCUUACGGGUGGCGAGUGGCGGACGGGUGAGGAAUACAUCGGAAUCUACUUUUUCGUGGGGGAUGACGUAGGGAAACUUACGCUAAUACCGCAUACGACCUACGGGUGAAAGCAGGGGAUCUUCAGACCUUGCGCGAUUGAAUGAGCCGAUGUCGGAUUAGCUAGUUGGCGGGGUAAAGGCCCACCAAGGCGACGAUCCGUAGCUGGUCUGAGAGGAUGAUCAGCCACACUGGAACUGAGACACGGUCCAGACUCCUACGGGAGGCAGCAGUGGGGAAUAUUGGACAAUGGGCGCAAGCCUGAUCCAGCCAUACCGCGUGGGUGAAGAAGGCCUUCGGGUUGUAAAGCCCUUUUGUUGGGAAAGAAAAGCAGCAGGUUAAUACCCCGCUGUUCUGACGGUACCCAAAGAAUAAGCACCGGCUAACUUCGUG